CAAUAAUUGAACCUACAGAUUGGUCCAGACCAACCGACGGCCCACAGAGCAGCCAGGCCCACCCCUGCAGUCUCACUCUCUCUGCAGUCCCCGCGAGGGGCCACUGACCAGCCCUGAACAGCACACACGGACUUGGCUUGUGUCUGCUGUGGACAGUCGGCCACGCAGAGCUGGACAGCACGUGCCCAGCAGCCGACCAGCGUGGGUCCUGGAGACCCGCGUUGGUGACACGGGGACAGCUCCCUGUCUGCUCCCUCGGUUAGAGUGUCCAAGGCUGCCCCAGGUCCCUGGUGCGGAAGGCGCACGCUGGGGCACCAAGUCACUAAGAAGGCUCCUCCUUCCCAGGCAGGUCUCAAGGCCAGAGCCGGCUCAUUCCAACCCUGCAGCUGUUCAGGAAGGACAGGGCCAGGCCUGGGGUGGCUCACUGGGGUGGAGCUGAGCAGCCAUCUGUCCACGCCGGCCGGGCCCCUCGGACAGCAGGGGGCGGGGCUGAGCCAGGGAGGCUGCCACUUCCAGGAGAGGGGAGAAGCUGGGGGUGCGGGGAGAGGGCGGCUUGGACGCUGGGCAGCCCUGCCGUGGCCCCCGAGGGAGGGGCCGAGGGACUCAGAGCUCACAGCCCCUACAGGCAGCCUGAGGCCGCCCACCCCGGAUCCCACGGGGUCCGGCCCGUGCCAGCUACUCCGGCUGUGCGGGUCCAUCACUCGCCUGUCUCUGAGGCCCAGCUGGUGGACAGGCAGCUGUGUGCUUUCCUGGGUCUCAGCUGGACGCCGUGGCCACGCUUGAGCACCCCCACGGGGCUCCCACCUCACUGUGCCCCCUGGCAGACAGCCUGGGGGGCCGAGCCCCAGCCCCGGGGCCUUCUGCCUAAUGUGCAGCCCAACACCGCUGAGCCUCACGGUAAGGCGUCCCCGAGGCGGGCGCCUCACGGCGAGACGUCCCCAGGCGGGCAGGAGGACUGAGACCCGGCAGCGCUGUUCGGGAUCCCGGCUCCGGGGUCUCUCCAGAGGUCUC
rnacentral:lncRNA from 1 species